UACGGAGGGGGCUAGCGUUGUUCGGAAUUACUGGGCGUAAAGCGCCCGUAGGCGGCUUUGUAAGUUAGAGGUGAAAGCCCAGGGCUUAACCCUGGAAUUGCCUUUAAGACUGCAUCGCUAGAAUCGUGGAGAGGUGAGUGGAAUUCCGAGUGUAGAGGUGAAAUUCGUAGAUAUUCGGAAGAACACCAGUGGCGAAGGCGACUCACUGGACACGUAUUGACGCUGAGGUGCGAAAGCGUGGGGAGCAAACAGG
rnacentral:rRNA from 1 species